rnacentral:rRNA from 1 species
AGUGAACGCUGGCGGUAGGCCUAACACAUGCAAGUCGAACGGCAGCACAGUAAGAGCUUGCUCUUACGGGUGGCGAGUGGCGGACGGGUGAGGAAUACAUCGGAAUCUACUUUUUCGUGGGGGAUAACGUAGGGAAACUUACGCUAAUACCGCAUACGACCUACGGGUGAAAGCAGGGGAUCUUCGGACCUUGCGCGAUUGAAUGAGCCGAUGUCGGAUUAGCUAGUUGGCGGGGUAAAGGCCCACCAAGGCGACGAUCCGUAGCUGGUCUGAGAGGAUGAUCAGCACACCUGGAAUGGAGCACGGGUCCAACCCCCUACGGGAGGCAGAAGUGGGGAAUAUUGGACAAGGGGCGCAAGCCUGAUCCAGCCAUACCGCGUGGGUGAAGAAGGCCUUCGGGUUGUAAAGCCCUUUUGUUGGGAAAAAAAAGCAGCAGGUUAAUACCCCGCUGUUCUGGCGGUACCCAAAGAAUAAGCCCCGGCUAACUUCGU